UCCGUCGAGACGGAGUCGAACCAGCGACCUAUGGAUGUCUGUCUCUUUCUAUCUGCAGGCCACCGCUAUGCCAAAUGAGCUAUCGACGA